rnacentral:rRNA from 1 species
UACGGAGGAUCCAAGCGUUAUCCGGAAUCAUUGGGUUUAAAGGGUCCGUAGGCGGUUUGGUAAGUCAGUGGUGAAAGCCCAUCGCUCAACGGUGGAACGGCCAUUGAUACUGCCAGACUUGAAUUAUUAGGAAGUAACUAGAAUAUGUAGUGUAGCGGUGAAAUGCUUAGAGAUUACAUGGAAUACCAAUUGCGAAGGCAGGUUACUACUAAUGGAUUGACGCCGAUGGACGAAAGCGUGGGUAGCGAACAGG